UUUUAAUUGAAGGCUUGUAUGAAGGGUUGGACAAAGAAUAAGCUGUCUUUAUUUUCAUUUUUGAAUUUGUCUUUUAAGUGAAAAGACUUAAAUGUAUUUAAGGGACGAUAAGACCCUAUAAAGUUUUAUACUGAAUAUUUAUAUUUUGGGGUUUAAUGUUUGUAUAAAUAAAAAUAUAAGGUAUUAUGUUGGGGUGACAAGAAUAAUCAAUAAACUGUUCUAAGAUAAUACAAAUUUAUUUGGUUAAUAAUAGAUCCUUUAUAGAGAUUAAAAGUUUAAGUUACUUUAGGGAUAACAGCGUUAUUUUUUUUGAGAGUUCAAAUCGAAAAAAAAGUUUGCGACCUCGAUGUUGAAUUAAAAUUUCUUUAUGGUGUAGCAGUUAUAAGAGAAAGUCUGUUCGACUUUUAAAAUUUUACGUGAUCU
rnacentral:rRNA from 2 species